GAAAAGCAGCCAGAUAUCUUUCAGAGAACCAGGAAUAAAAUCACCACACACAGGUUUCAAUUCAAGAGUCAACAAACAAAAUUGGAAAGAAAGGAAUUAUUAUUUGUUUUGAUGGUGAUGACUUGCAAAGAAAAGCUUCCUGUACAAUCCUUGAUUAAAACAUUUCUGAAAGCACUUUUUCAACACGUGAACAAUCAGGAUAACUACAGGAAAAACAGCACAGAGCACAAAGCUUUCCCACAAAUCCACUCUGGUCCAGAAAAAUCAACUACUGUGGUAUAAUUGGUGAAUACCACUUAUGUUACCCAGGUCAUUCAAAUAGAGGUUAAAUAAAUACGUCUAACUUCCAGUGGGGAAUAAAAUAUUUUAAAAUUAAGGCUAUUGUUGUUCCAUCAUUUUUUCUUUAAAGAAUCACAAAAAUUACUCAAAUAAUAGGAGUGAAAAAAACAUACCAAGUUGCUUCAGAAUGUCUGUGA
rnacentral:misc_RNA from 1 species